rnacentral:rRNA from 1 species
CUUCGGGAACCGUGAGACAGGUGCUGCAUGGCUGUCGUCAGCUCGUGUUGUGAAAUGUUGGGUUAAGUCCCGCAACGAGCGCAACCCUUAUCCUUUGUUGCCAGCGGUCCGGCCGGGAACUCAAAGGAGACUGCCAGUGAUAAACUGGAGGAAGGUGGGGAUGACGUCAAGUCAUCAUGGCCCUUACGACCAGGGCUACACACGUGCUACAAUGGCGCAUACAAAGAGAAGCGACCUCGCGAGAGCAAGCGGACCUCAUAAAGUGCGUCGUAGUCCGGAUUGGAGUCUGCAACUCGACUCCAUGAAGUCGGAAUCGCUAGUAAUCGUGGAUCAGAAUGCCACGGUGAAUACGUUCCCGGGCCUUGUACACACCGCCCGUCACACCAUGGGAGUGGGUUGCAAAAGAAGUAGGUAGCUUAACCUUCGGGAGGGCGCUUACCACUUUGUGAUUCAUGACUGGGGUGAAGUCGUAACAAGGUAACCGUAGGGGAACCUGCGGUUGGAUCACCUCCUU